UUCCAGUUGUGGAGUGGCUAUAUUACAUUAUUAUUUAAAGAUAUAAAUAUGCUAAGAGGCUUUGCAGAUAUAUUUGCUAUAUAGUAAGGAACCUAUUAUAUGUUUUGAACAGACAGUUCAAGAAUUCCUGAGUGUAUUCCCUGUGUAGUCAACUGAAACAAGGCAAUGGAAAGAAUGGCCACCCCAGAAGGUGCUGGAAACAGAAUCACAGAAUGGUUUGGGUUAGAAGGGGCCCCAAAGCCCAACCAGCCCCAACCCCUGCCAUGGGCAGGGCUGCCCACCACCAGCUCAGCUGCCCAGGGCCCCAUCCAACCUGGCCUUGAGCGCCUCCAGGGAUGGGGCACCACAGCUUCUAUGGGCAGCUGUGCCAGUGCCUCACCGCCCUCUGAGGAAAGGAUAUCUCAUCUACAUUAUCCCUCUUCUAGUUUAAAAUCAUUUGCCCUUGUCCUAUCGCUGUGUAAAAAGUCCAUCUUCCUCCUGCUUACAAGCUCCCUUUAAGUACUAUAAGGCUGCAGUGAUAUUUUCCAGGAGCCUUCUCCAGUCUGAAAAAGCCCAGCUCUCUCAGCCUGUCUCCACAGGAGAGAUGCUCCAGACCUCUGAACAUCUUCAUGCCCUCCGCUGAACCCUGCUCCAACAUCUCUGCAUCUUUCCUGAGCUGGGGGCCCCAGGCCUGGGCCCCCAGGCACUCCAGAUAGGGCCUCACAAGGGCAGAGCAGAGGGACACAAUUCCCUUCCUCUCCCUGCUGCCCACCCUUCUUCAGAUGCAGGCCAGACUACUGUUGGCCUUUGAAACUGCAGGCAGAUACUGCUGGCUUGUGUCCAGCUUUUUGUUCAUUACAAUGCCUGAGUCUUUAUGUCUCAAUGCUCUCAAUAAGUUCUUUCUUUUCCCAGUCCGUACACAUAUCUGUGUUGCCCCAAUCAAAGUGCAGCAUUUUGCACUUGGCCUUGUUGAACUUCAUUAGGUUCUCAUGUGCCAACUCCUCAAGCCUGUCCAGGUCCCUCUGGACGGCAUCCCUCUCUUGUGUUGUAUCAACUGUGCUACUCAGCUUAGUGUCAUCAGCAAAAUUGCUGAGGGCGAACUCAAUUGUACUGCCUCUGUUGUUGGUAAAGACAGUGAGGAACACUGGGCCCAAGACUGACUGCUUUGAGACACGACUUAAGACCAGCUUCCACCUGGAUGUGGAGCUGUUGAUCAGAACCCUCUGGCUGCACUUGAGCACAGAGGAAAAGCACAACCCUGUUGAAACAGCAGCAGAGUGUCCUCGGCAGGAGGAGCCACAUGUUUGAAGACAUGAGAUAAUGCACUCAGUCCAUCAAGGGUGCAUGUUACACUUCAGGACACAGCUCCUUCAGCAUGACAGAGUCCAGGAUCAUCUAAUAACUUUGUGACUUCUGUUCCUGUGGACAAAUCCUGCAGAUACUGGCUAUUGUUCACAGGAGUGUUGCUACAUCCAUGUCGUCUUCUAACCAUAGAGAGUGAACGUACUUCACCUUUCAAGGAUUGGGAAGGAGGCUUUCACAGCUAAGCUUUCCUAAGGUUAAGUUUGUGCUUGAAAAAUACCGAGCAAUGUUUGUCUUCAGAAAUAUUUCGCAUAUACAUAUGGAAAAGCGCCUGAGUAAGUAAACAGGGAGCACCGAAACUAUUUGCUGACUUUCACAGAAAUAUGUUAGCAAUGGGUUUAUCUGACACUGUUUCUCUGAGCACCAAAAGCUCCAGUUUUUCCCAUGCUUCCACCGAAGUCUUCAGCUUGCUCUCUGCCUUGCAGCUUCUGUAACAAAGUUCUGUGCAGCUGAUACAAAAAUCAAGAGUGUGCAAUGACUUGGAG
rnacentral:lncRNA from 1 species